UUAAUCCAGUUCAGCAAAACUCAACACCCUGCAGAACCUGAUUUACAGACAGCAGAGAACUUUCAACAAAGGAAUCUGUCAACUAUUGGAAAUCAAACAUUUUGAGAUCACCUGGAUCUGCAGGUUGUUGCCAACACCAGACCAAGGCAGAUUGACACUGAAGAAGAACCAACACCAACAGUCAGG